rnacentral:misc_RNA from 1 species
UUUGCAAUGAGAAUAAUUCCUAAAUUCUCCCGCACUGCAUUCCAACUUUUGAACAACCAACAAUGAUAUACAUCUUGUCAACAGUAAGUUGCAGGAAAAUACCAAAUGGAAAACACAGAAGCAACCAAUUAUGUUGAAGGAGCAGAAAUUUCAACUAUGAUUUCGGCUGAUGGAAAACAGAUUAUUGGGCUGUUUGCAGAGCAGUUGCAUCACUCUGAACAGUAAAUAAAAGAUUUAGUCUUCACAAUUGCAGGAAAUUUACAUUGACUGAAAAGUGAAUAAAAGAAUAUUCUAGCAUGAGUAUUUAUGGACUCAACCUAAACCUUGAAGACAUUGAACUCCCGAAAGUAAUCCUAAUCCUCUAAGGAUUUGGACCCCAAUAAAAAACAAAAGAGAACAUUUUUUUUUCCUAGACAAAUGAGGAAUUAAAAACAAAUCAUAAAGACAAAUAGCAAGCCGAUUCCAGCAAAGACAGAAGUUUACAGAAAUGACAUGCUUGCAUAGCUCUAAAGAGUAAACAGUAUUCAAUAAUUUCCCAAAGAAGCUCCAUUUAUCAAUUUCGGCCCAAAAAGAACAUAUUCGUUCCAUUUUGAUAGACAAAGAUUGGAAAUGUAAUGGCAUUAUGUUGGUGUUUUAUGACUUCUCACUUGAAACACAACUAAACCCAAAUGCACAAUGUAGGGGAAGGCAGAUAAGUAGCUUAUUCUAGGAUAGUUAAGACUUUUUUUAAAAUCUCUAUAAGAGUUUGUUAUGCUUUUUACAAUCUGCAGGCACAGCUAGCUGUAGUUAGAACUCACAAUCAUGCUUCUUCUUCAUCUUCUCUCAUCUCCCUUAAGUUUUCAGUCCUAGCACACAAAAAUCCAAAUGGAUCGUUAAAUUGCAUCAUUCUUGUAUAGUCAUUUAUUUUACCCAGCAUAAUUUGUCUGUUAGCUUCUGCAAAAGCUCUCACAAAUAAACACGCACAAUCCAAGCACUAGACAGAAUAAUUUUUUGCAUAUAGACAUUGCAAGAUUUUGUUUGGAUUGAGCUCUUUGAAGUACCUGUUGCAGCUCACCAAGGUACUUGAGAGCAAUCUCAGUCGCUGCUGGCCUUGCAGUAAGCUCUUUAUACCUGCAACAAAACACUCAUCAGCUGGAACAACUUAAUUUGAAUUCCCAACUUUGAGACUCAUAUAUUGCAACAGGAAAGAAAAAUACAUGAUCAUCUCAGCAGAAGCUCAGUCCCAAGUAUAACUAAAAUUAUGUCUUACCUGAAAAAUAUAGGGUCGCCAAUAGCUUUUAAUGAAUCUAGACGAUCCUGAAACUCAGUAGCAGUAGCAUCUUCACCAUCAGUAUAUAGCCAUUCUUGGACCUCAUCAAGCUUUUCAAUGAAAGAUUUACGUUCUUCAUGGGAAGAUAUUUUCUGAAACUCCUCAGAGAUUUCAAGCUUUUCCUUAGUAGAAUAUAUAUAUCCUUCCAAGUUAUUUUUCAGCUCAGCAGUCCUCCUUCGCUCAGCAUCCUUUUUGUCUAAUGCUUCUAAUUUCCUUUUGGCUUCAGAUAAGGAUUCUUCAGAUAGAGGCAUUCCAGGCCCUGCUGUCUUCUCAACAAUCUCAAGUGGAACCCUAAAUGUCCUCUUUUUCAGCUUUUUUUCUGUACCCAGCUCAAUGGCACUUGGUUCUUCAACAUUAGAGUUUGAUGCAUUGCCAACCCCACCAUCAGAAUGAAGGUUUUCAAUGCUUUCAUCCUUAACAUUGUUAGCCCCAGAUUGAAUGGAUACAUUGGGAGAGGUAGCAGUUGUAUUUUCUAUUGUCAGAUUCUUUUUAGGAACUUCCACCCAUUCUGAUAUUUCAAUAACAGCAUCUGCUCGAUCAAGAGAAAGAAUUCCACUUCUACUCAGAGAAAAGUGCAGAUUUGUCUUGAUGGGGGAGGACAAAUUUCGAGCUGAAUAUUUCUCACUAGCAUCUGUCACACCAGAAACAGCAUACUGAGCAAAUAUGGGAGAGAUAGUGCCAGGUGGUAAAAAAUCUUCAGUCUCAUAUGCAAGCAAAACUUCAAAAUCUUUGUCAUGGAUAAUGGAUCUGAACAUCUUACUGGGGAGCUUUUUCAUCCUUGGCACGAGUAACUGCCUAGUGCUCUCAUUCUUCAGAAGAUCAGGUCCAUCUAACUCAACUACAAAUCCAUAGGAAGAGCCAUCAACCAUUCCUAGCUUACGAUUCAAUUUGAUCCCAUCACUUAGAUUUGCAGCAUGCAGUGCUGCACCAAGAACUAUAGCCUCAUCAGCAUCCAGAUGUUUGUCCAGCUCAUUCCUUCCAAGGAAUUCCUGGAUCUUGGCCUGCAACUUUGGCACUCUGGUAGCCCCUCCUAUAAGCUCAACCGCAUAUAUUUCAUCCACCUUCAGCCCCGAAUGAUUAAGCACUUCUUUGAGAGGGGUAAGAGAUCGAUCCCACAAAUCUUCACACAGCUCUUCAAACUUAUCACGUGUUAUACUACUCCUGAAGUCUCCAUCAUCAUAGAGAGAUUCAACCGAUAUUGGAGCCAUUGUGUUGGCACUCAAGAUUUCUUUUGUACGUUUAACCUGUUUCUUUAAUUUAGCCAUUGCCUUAGGAGACUUUCUCACAUCAACACCAUUCCCAACUUGUUUAUUAAAUUCAUCUGCAAAGAACUCCAACAACCGCACUUCCAUCUUUUGCCCUCCAAGUUCUGGGUCCCAUCUAACAUCCUUAACCUGAAAUUGGUUGACGGACACAGCCUUCCCAAACUCCCUGGCACUAUAAGCCGAGUAAUACACAAGCGCGGCGUAAGUACUACUGGAUCCCAUAUCAUAGAAUAUAACAUACCUAGAACCAUUAGAAAAAUCCUUGUCAAUCCCAUACUGCAACGCUGCACCGGAAUGCUCAUUUAUCAGAGAAAGCACAUUUAUCCCAGCCAACUGCGCAGCUUGAACCAAUCCCCUCCUCUGCGCCUGCCCAAAAUACGGCGGAACGCUGAUCACUGCAUCCUUCGCCUUCACCUUCGAAUGAAACUCCGCCAGAUUCGCUGCAUAACUCAAAAUCAUGGCAACCAACUCCUCGACCGAAUAAACAGUCACAUUAUCAUCAAUUUUCAUACCCACAGCGCCCCUAGAAUCUUCCACAACAUCAAAUGGCAAAUACAUUGAAUCUAGAAAUUCCUUGACGUGCUUGUACGAUUUCCCAAUCAUAUCACGAAGUUGGGAAUAGACUUUGUCAGGGUAACGGGCAGUGAUUCCAGCGGCUUCUUCACCGAGGAGGCGGGUUUCAGAUUGAAAUGCAACUAAAGCUGGGGAUUUUCGCUUCGACAUCUCGUUGAUUGCAAUCGAAAUUGGGCUUUGCCCUGGUUUUAGAUUCACAACAGCUACUUUCAUCCAUUCUGAGCCUAGAUCUACGCUGGAUACCGCUGAUUGAGAAGGGAUUAAAUUAAGCAAAAUAAAAGACAGGAAUAACCCUAAUUUGAAAAGCAGCGACCUCAUCCUCUAUCUGCGUACUUCAAAAGAACAAUCCUUCUCUGCAAGUGGCAAACAAAGGAACAAAGCCUAAAAUGGUAAAUGUAUGCUCUGUUUGGCUGGCUUGAAAAGAAAAAAAAGGGGGAUCGGAGGUGGGAGAAGUGAAAUAAGCUAUCUAUUCAGUUUCAGUACCGUGAACAUAUAGAUACCUCAGCUAAAUUAUUUCUAGGAAAGAAACUUCUUUUCCUUUUCCACUACUAAUACGUAGGAAAACAAACAGGACAUUUAUACAAACUUCUAAAGUAAAGGAAAUCACGAGAGACAGAUUUGUAGAGGCAAAGAGGAAGAGCAGAAGUGCAAAAAUCGAAUUCUCUAUCAACCAAGAACUUUCCGUUUG